rnacentral:RNase_P_RNA from 1 species
GAAGCAGGUCGGACGGUCGCCGCGGGAAGGUGAAACGCCUGGCCCACGGAGGAAAGUCCGGGCUCCAGAGGGCAGGGUGCCAGGUAACCCCUGGGAGGGGCGACCCUACGGAAAGUGCCACAGAAAUGACACAGCUUCGCAGUCGCCAGACGCCGGACGUGAGACGCCAGUGAACGCGGGCAAAUCCGUCGCUACUGGCGUCUGGCGACUGGGGAGCAACGGUGAAAUGGUGCGGUAAGAGCGCACCGGCGGUGUGGAGACACACCGGCCAGGUAAACCCCACCUGGAGCAAGGCCGAGUAAGGAGGAUGCCGCCGGGAGCGGACCUUCCGCCUCGCGGCGACGGAUGGCCCGUCCGCCUCCGGGUAAGGCCGCACGAGCCCGCCGGUGACGUCGGGCCUAGAGAGAUGACCGUCCUCCGCUCUUCGGAGCGGAGACAGAACCCGGCUUACAGGCCUGCUUCUCGU